CAGUCGCCACGGUAAUACGAAGGGUGCAAGCGUUAAUCGGAAUUACUGGGCGUAAAGCGCACGUAGGCGGCUUGGUAAGUUAGAGGUGAAAGCCUGGAGCUCAACUCCAGAAUUGCCUUUAAGACUGCCGAGCUAGCAGGUGAGAGAGGUAAGUGGAAUUCCCGGUGUAGCGGUGAAAUGCGUAGAGAUCGGGAGGAACAUCAGUGGCGAAGGCGGCCAUCUGGGACAACACUGACGCUGAGGCACGAAAGCGUGGGGAGCAAACAGGAUUAGAUACCCCGGUAGUCCCUGUCUCUUAUAC
rnacentral:rRNA from 1 species